GUGAAAUUGUUGAAAGGGAAGCGCUUGCAACCAGACCUGCCUGCAGUUGCUCAUCCGUGGCUUUUGCCCGGUGCACUCUUCUGCUGUCAGGCCAGCAUCAGUUCGGGCGGUCGGAUAAAGGCUUCGGGAAUGUAGCUCCUCUCGGGGAGUGUUAUAGCCCGUUGCGAAAUGCGGCCAGCCUGGACUGAGGUCCGCGCUUCGGCUAGGAUGCUGGCGUAAUGGUUGUAAGCGGCCCGUCUUGAAACAUGGACCAAGGAGUCUAACAUCUGUGCGAGUGUUUGGGUGUUAAACCCGUACGCGUAAUGAAAGUGAACGGAGGCGGGAACCCCUCGGGGUGCACCGUCGACCGAUCCUGAUGUCUUCGGAUGGAUUUGAGUAAGAGCAUAGCUGUUGGGACCCGAAAGAUGGUGAACUAUGCCUGAAUAGGGUGAAGCCAGAGGAAACUCUGGUGGAGGCUCGCAGCGGUUCUGACGUGCAAAUCGAUCGUCAAAUUUGGGCAUAGGGGCGAAAGACUAAUCGAACUAUCUAGUAGCUGGUUCCUGCCGAAGUUUCCCUCAGGAUAGCAGUAACGUUUUCAGUUUUAUGAGGUAAAGCGAAUGAUUAGAGGCCUGGGGGUUGAAACAACCUUCACCUAUUCUCAAACUUUAAAUAUGUAAGAAGUCCUUGUUGCUCAGUUGAACGUGGACAUUUGAAUGUAUCGUUACUAGUGGGCCAUUUUUGGUAAGCAGAACUGGCGAUGCGGGAUGAACCGAACGCGGAGUUAAGGUGCCG
rnacentral:rRNA from 1 species